UCGAACGGACGUAGCAAUACGUCAGUGGCGGACGGGUGAGUAAUGUAUCGCUAAUGUACCCCUGAGUCAGGGAUAGCCAGCCGAAAGGCUGGGUAAUACCUGAUAAAACAACCUGGUCGCAUGACCGGGUUUUCAAAGGAGCAAUCCGCUCUAGGAGCAGGCGAUAUCGUAUCAGCUUGUUGGUGAGGUAACGGCUCACCAAGGCGACGACGCGUAGCUGGUCUGAGAGGACGGCCAGCCACAUCGGGACUGAGACACUGCCCGGACUCCUACGGGGGGCUGCAGUAACGAAUCUUCCGCAAUGCACGAAAGUGUGACGGAGCGACGCCGCGUGUGGGACGAAGCCCUUCGGGGUGUAAACCACUGUCAGGGGUUACCAAGUUCUGAGGAGCCCCAGAGGAAGGCACGGCUAACUCUGUGCCAGCAGCCGCGGUAAGACAGAGGUGCCGAGCGUUA
rnacentral:rRNA from 1 species